CAGGAUUUAAAAUCCCUUUCGUACUUGCAAGUCUCAAGUAAAAAUGUCUAUACUAAUAGAUGGUGUUAGAAACAACAGCAAAUAAGGUCAUACUAGAAAGAGUAUGGAAACCUCAAACUCACAUUUUGAUUAUACAUCUCUCUCCGAGCUAUUGGCUUACUUUUUAAUUUUCAUCAAGGAAAUGCUUCAGGGAGCACAGAUUCAAAGGGAAAGACACAGAGCGCUUGUUCAACCAUGUUCACUGCAGCUCUAUUCAUCAUAGCCAGAAGUAAAAAACAACCUAGAUGUCUGAAUGGAUAAAGAAAAUGUGCUACAUUUACACACUGGAAUAUUACUCAACAUUUUAAAAAAGUGAAAUCAUAAAAUUUCCAGGUAAAUCGAUGGGGCCAGAAAAAAAAAUUAUCCUGCAUGAGGUAAC